AUGCCGGUAGUAUAACUUUAUUAUUCUGUCUUUCCAAGUCAGGGGUCCGUGUUUGGCGGUUGGUGUA
rnacentral:tRNA from 1 species